CUCCUGAAACCGGAACUACUGUGUAUUGAUUCGUUGCUUGCUUCAUGAUUUACAUUUGACGUGACGGCGAACUGGUGAGUAACACGUGGGAAACCUGCCCACAAGCGGGGGAUAACACCUGGAAACCGAUGCUAAUACCGCAUAACAACUUGGACCGCAUGGUCCGAGUUUGAAAGAUGGCUUCGGCUAUCACUUUUGGAUGGUCCCGCGGCGUAUUAGCUAGAUGGUGGGGUAACGGCUCACCAUGGCAAUGAUACGUAGCCGACCUGAGAGGGUAAUCGGCCACAUUGGGACUGAGACACGGCCCAAACUCCUACGGGAGGCAGCAGUAGGGAAUCUUCCACAAUGGACGAAAGUCUGAUGGAGCAACGCCGCGUGAGUGAAGAAGGGUUUCGGCUCGUAAAACUCUGUUGUUAACGAAGAACAUAUCUGAGAGUAACUGUUCAGGUAUUGACGGUAUUUAACCAGAAAGCCACGGCUAACUACGUGCCAGCAGCCGCGGUAAUACGUAGGUGGCAAGCGUUGUCCGGAUUUAUUGGGCGUAAAGCGAGCGCAGGCGGUUUUUUAAGUCUGAUGUGAAAGCCUUCGGCUCAACCGAAGAAGUGCAUCGGAAACUGGGAAACUUGAGUGCAGAAGAGGACAGUGGAACUCCAUGUGUAGCGGUGAAAUGCGUAGAUAUAUGGAAGAACACCAGUGGCGAAGGCGGCUGUCUGGUCUGUAACUGACGCUGAGGCUCGAAAGUAUGGGUAGCAAACAGGAUUAGAUACCCUGGUAGUCCAUACCGUAAACGAUGAAUGCUAAGUGUUGGAGGGAUUCCGCCCUUCAGUGCUGCAACUAACGCAUUAAGCCUUCCGCCUGGGGAGUACGGCCGCAAGGCUGAAACUCUAAGGGAAUUGACGGGGGGCCCGCACAAGCGGCGGGAACAUGUGUUUUAAUUUCACAAUCUACGCGUAACAACCUUACCAGGGCUUGACCAUACUAUGGCAAAUUCUAAGAAUAU
rnacentral:rRNA from 1 species